rnacentral:rRNA from 1 species
UAAUAGUGUAUAUUAAAGUUGUUGCAGUUAAAAAGCUCGUAGUUGAAUGUUGGUGUCGAACGAGCGGUCAGCUUCGGCUGUACUGCUCUCUCGACUCCUUCCUUCUGUGGACUACGUCGCACUUUACUGUGUGGCGCUAGGACGCAGAUCGUUUACUGUGAAAAAAUUAGGGUGUUCAAAGCAGGCCGUACGCUUGAAUACAUUAGCAUGGAAUAAUGGAAUAGGACGUCGGGCCUAUUUUGUUGGUUCUAGGACCGUCGUAAUGAUUAAUAGGGACAGUUGGGGCCGUUUAUAUUCCGUAGUCAGAGGUGAAAUUCUUGGAUUUACGGAAGAUAAACUACUGCGAAAGCAUUCGGCAAGGAUGUUUUCGUUAA